rnacentral:misc_RNA from 1 species
UGUACGUUAGCUUCUUCUUUAAUCCUCUUUGGAACCAUCACCGGCUUCUUAGCGAUUUAGAUGCCGUGACGAUACUCCCACUGCCGAGCUUAAAAUGGUAUACGUUUCUUGAUAUUUUUCGAAAAGGAUAACAUAAAGAAUAACAUUUCUAAAGAGAUAAAAUAUUACUACACUAUGCAACUUUAUAGCGCAUCUUCGCAUUGUGUUAUAAUGCGAUAUUUUCAAACAUUUGUGAAUUAAGAGACUAAAAAGAAGAGAUUUUACGAUUUAAAAUCGCUAUUAUAAUGAGAGACAAAUCAAGCGAGAACAAGCACACAAUUAACUAUAGCAUGAUUACAAGUAUUUUAUGAAAGUAAUACGAAAGUAAAACAAUCUUCGAUAAUUUCAAAAAAAAAAAGAGAAAAGAAAAUCAAUAUCUUUCUUGAGUCAGGAGAGUCUAAAGUGGACCAAGAUAUUAACCAUUUGAAAGUACAGACGCGAUUUACAUGUUCGCGAGCCGAUAUAAUUUAAGGGUAAGCCAUGUGCGAUCGCCAUCCGAGUCGACGUAAUCUCGAGCGGAUUAAAGUCGGAGGCGAGUAAAUAAAGCGGCGGGAAAAAAGUUUGGAGCACGGAGGGUUGAACGACACCUGCGACGGCCCUGUUCCGCGGGUGUCUCUCGUCGCGAGGCGAGAAUCGAGAGGGCCGCGACUGCGAAACGGGCGGCGCGGCAGGGCCGUGAUCGGCCGCUAUUAUAAACGGGGUCGCCGGGAACCCGGGAACAGUCAGUCGCACGUCAGAUCGAGCCGCGCGUGGAUGUGCAGGUGAGAGAAUCCGAGGGCGAGCGAGCGAGCGAGCAAGCGGCGACGCGACUCCGACGCAGAUAUCUCAAAGGCGGCCGAAGACAGUGCAACGAAAACCGAGGAAACCUCGGACAAGGAGAAAGAAAACGACGGAAAGGGAGAAAAAGAGAAGGAGGAGGCAGCAGCCACGAAAAUACAAGCAGCUUUCCGCGGACACCACGCUAGGAAAAGUUUAAGAGUGUCGGAAACAGCAUCGGAGCGGCCGAA